rnacentral:snRNA from 15 species
UAAAUUAGAUGCGACAUUGUGGUUCAGCGUGAUCAACAAUGCUUUGACCCCGGGUGGAGGCUCACCAUUGCACCUCGGUAGGUUGAAACUCGCGACGGACCCUAAUCGGAUGCGCUCGGGCGUGUAGUUUUUGUCAACAAAGUUUAUCUGAUCACACUCUA